AAUUACAUGAAGAGGCUAAGAAGGUUGCAUGCCAGACCGGGGUUAGGGUGGUUGUUGCUUAUGGCAGAGCUCCAGUUAACCAGCAGGUGAAGAUUUAAAGCUAUUUUGUUGUUGAAGGUGGAAUCUUGGCAAUUUAGUGGACUCAAUUUCUUAAUGUUUUUUGAGAUUGUUAUGUAUGACAUAAUAUGUCUAUUUUAAAUGUUAGUAAGAUAAUGUUUUCCACUACUAAGUAAAAAUAUUCUACACUGCACUAUGGUGAACAUUGUUUAACUAUUGGUUUAUCGUUGUAAGACUUUUAUGUAAAUUUUUAAUAUAUACGAUGAACACCUUUUAUUUUA